UCCAGAUUCUGGGCCCAGAAAUAGGGUAGC
rnacentral:piRNA from 1 species